rnacentral:tRNA from 1 species
GCGAGGGUGGCGGAACUGGUAGACGCGCUGGGUUUAGGACCCAGUGGGCAACCGUGGGGGUUCGACUCCCCCCUCUCGCA